UACGGAAGGCAGCAGUGGGGAAUAUUGGACAAUGGGCGAAAGCCUGAUCCAGCCAUGCCGCAUGAGUGAAGAAGGCCUUCGGGUUGUAAAGCUCUUUUAGUGAGAAAGAUAAUGACGGUACUCACAGAAGAAGUCCUGGCUAACUCCGUGCCAGCAGCCGCGGUAAUACGGAGAGGGCUAGCGUUAUUCGGAAUUAUUGGGCGUAAAGAGCGCGUAGGCUGAUUAGUAAGUUAAAAGUGAAAUCCCAAGCUUAACUUUGGAAUUGCUUUUUAAAACUGCUAGUCUAGAGAUUUGAAAGAGGAUAGAGGAAUUCCUAGUGUAGAGGUGAAAUUCGUAAAUAUUAGGAGGAACACCAGUGGCGAAGGCGUCUAUCUGGUUCAAAUCUGACGCUGAGGCGCGAAGGGCGUGGGGAGCAAACAGGGAUUAGAUACC
rnacentral:rRNA from 1 species